GCUUACGGCCAUACCAGCCUGAAUACGCCCGAUCUCGUCUGAUCUCAGAAGCUAAGCAAACUGCACAAUUAAAAUCACAAACUAUGAGACAAUAAAAUGCAGUGACUU
rnacentral:rRNA from 1 species